UACGUAGGUGGCAAGCGUUGUCCGGAUUUACUGGGUGUAAAGGGCGUGUAGACGGGACGGCAAGUCAGAUGUGAAAUUUAUGGGCUCAACCCAUAACCUGCAUUUGAAACUGUAGUUCUUGAGUGAUGGAGAGGUAAGCGGAAUUCCUAGUGUAGCGGUGAAAUGCGUAGAUAUUAGGAGGAACACCGGUGGCGAAGGCGGCUUACUGGACAUUAACUGACGUUGAGGCGCGAAAGUGUGGGUAGCAAACAGG
rnacentral:rRNA from 1 species